CUCCCUGCCCCCCCCCCACCCCCGCACCACUCCGGGAAUCAGACAGAGGGCUCGGCUUUCAUCGGCGCAGCCUUCAUAUAGAUUGGAUCUUCCUUUGGUCAGCGUACCUAAGAGAGCGACACCGUCAAAAUCAUCUGUUUGCCAUCUCAAGGACAAUAUCUGAGAGAUAAUUUUCAGUGUGAAGGUUCUGGCUAUGGAAGAGAACACAGGCACAGUCCGCAUCAGAGGGCCCCGAGAAGAAUCUCACACGAAGGCCACGUCUCGUUUGCAGCUGGGGUUGACUGCUCCAGGGCCCCGAAGACAACAACCACGCACUUGAUAUCCCAGAGCGUUCGUCAGAGAAACCACGAGCAUCAGACCGUGAUCGACGACGUGUUCUCUGCUGGAGAUGGAGAGCGGCAGACAGACCGAUUCACGCAAAGGAGAUGCUGGCAGUCCUAUCAUUCAUGAGGCCAAUGCCAGGAAGGAGCUGCGCUGGACUGUAAGCUGGGCACUAGCUGUGCUGAGAAGGAGAAACCCGAAGUCUAAACGAGGGUCCCAUGGGUCGAAUCGCACCUGAACGGAGCCCAUGACAGGACCCACUCCCCUCCUGCAUGAAUGCGGGGACUUUCUUUGCAGCAUGCUGGCAUUCUUUCAUUGAAAGUGAGCAAAAGACCAUCAUGAUGUGAAGCCUGUUUCGGAGCUGGUUUUUCCUCAGUGGUUCUUUUUGCGGCUUCUCAUGUCAUUUUGCCUGAGGCAGAAAUCUUCAGCCAUCACUGAAACAAAACAGGACCAUAUCUAAAAAUUGAAUGGGAGCUGCUCUGUCGGUCCAUCCGAUGUGUGCCACAGUGUCUCUAGAAAUUAGUAUUAAAUCAUUGUGCUAGGUUUUCUGAUGAGUCCUAAAAUUAGCAAUGAAUUUGAUAACCUUGGAGCCACCCAGAAAAACAAAGGACCAAGUAGGACAUAAGGAUGUGGUCUGAGCUGGUGUAAAUACAGCUUCACUGGAGCGGCUGAGAUUCAUGUGAUUAGAGUGCUGUGCUCUUGGCGUCAGGUUCUGUCAUUCUUAGGGAUGUCCUGCCUUUGCCCAUGUAUCUGAAAAUCACUCCACUAACCGUUACUGAGCCUGUGGAGUUGUAUAUAUUCACACUGUGAGCUUGGGUGGACUUUGGUAGACAUGGGGCGGGGGUGACCCCUCACAAUGGAGCUGAAAAUUCAUUGUUGCUGAAAAUUUCCUUAUCAAAUAAGCUUUUAUUAAUUGAACUUGUAAUAUAUCUUUGGGGCUGGAUGGCCCUUUGUUAGUUAAUGAUUUUAUUUUAACCUCUUCCUCAUAAACUGUAAGUAUAAAAAGUCAAUUCAAUAUCCCA